GGCAGCAGGCGCGUAAAUUGCCCGAAUCCUGACACAGGGAGGUAGUGACAAGAAAUAACAAUACAGGGCUACUUCUAGUCUUGUAAUUGGAAUGAGUACAACUUACAUCUCUUCACGAGGAUCAAUUGGAGGGCAAGUCUGGUGCCAGCAGCCGCGGUAAUUCCUGCUCCAAUAGCGUAUAUUAAAGUUGUUGCAGUUAAAAAGCUCGUAGUCGGAUUUCGGGUCGGGCCGAGCGGUCUGCCGAUGGGUAUGCACUGUUUGGCGCGGCCUUCUUUCCGGAGACCGCGGCUACUCUUAACUGAGCGGGCGUGGGAGACGGAUCGUUUACUUUGAAAAAAUCAGAGUGUUUCUAGCAGGCAGCUCGCUCUUGCAUAGGUUAGCAUGGGAUAAUUUAAUAGGACUCUGGUGCUAUUUUGUUGGUUUCGAACACCGGAGUAAUGAUUAAAAGGGGCAGUCAGGGGCACUCGUAUUCCGUCGAGAGAGGUGAAAUUCUCAGACCAAUGGAAGACGAACCACUGCGAAAGCAUUUGCCAGGGAUGUUUUCACUGAUCAAGAACGAAAGUUAGGGGAUCGAAGACGAUCAGAUACCGUCGUAGUCUUAACCAUAAACCAUGCCGACUAGGGAUUGGAGGGUGUUCGUUUCGACCUCUUCAGCACCUUACGGGAAACUAAAGUCUUUGGGUUCCGGGGGGAGUAUGGUCGCAAGGCUGAAACUUAAAGGAAUUGACGGAAGGGCACCACCAGGAGUGGAGCCUGCGGCUUAAUUUGACUCAACACGGGGAAACUUACCAGGUCCAGACAUUGUUAGGAUUGACAGAUUGAGAGCUCUUUCUUGAUUCGAUGGGUGGUGGUGCAUGGCCGUUCUUAGUUGGUGGAGUGAUUUGUCUGGUUAAUUCCGUUAACGAACGAGACCGUAGCUGCUAAAUAGUUCCGCGAACUUCUUGU
rnacentral:rRNA from 1 species